rnacentral:tRNA from 1 species
GCCCCCGUACCUCAGCUGGAAGAGGGCCCGACUACGAAUCGGGAUGCCGCGCGUUCGACUCGCGCCGGGGGCUCCA